AUGGUCCUAUCGGUGUGGAAGGUGUGGGCUCCCCUGCGGUGCAAAUUUUUCGCAUGGCUUGUACUUCAAGAUAGAAUCUGGACAUCGGGCCGCCUUGCUCGACGUGGGUGGCCCAACUGCGGGCUAUGCCCGCUUUGCAAGCAAAGCCCUGAGACGGCAGUCCACUUACUGUUCCAAUGUCGCUACACCCUUCGUGUGUGGAACGAUAUUCUUCGCUGGCUUGGCAUGGAUCACACUCAGCCUACUACUUGGUCAGCGAGGGGCUCGGUGUGGGAAUGGUGGAAUGGAAACGUAUAUCUUCGUUCUGAAUCCCCCAAGACGCUCGCCUCACUAAUGAUGCUUAUCUUCUAG
rnacentral:rRNA from 1 species